rnacentral:lncRNA from 1 species
GAGUCACCUUCAAGAUAAAUGCUAUCCACAUCCAGAACACACCUCGCAUAGGUGAUACUCUUCCAUGCAGUUCUCAACUCUGCCCCGAUGACAGUCAUAUUACAGGUAUAUUGCCUCUCAGCUGCAAACAGUCUAAAGUUAUAACAUCUGAUCACAAAACCUACACCUUCACUGUCAGUACUUACGGACACACUACUGUCAAAGUUCAUUUUAAGAUGGCCGGAGAGUAGGGGCUCCCAAAAGACUAGACUUUGAGACUUAGAAAUGCCAUCACAUGUUUCAUCAUAUACGGUAAAGUUUAUGUCGUAAAUCAAAGACCAUAUCCAAAGAGUCAAAACACAUUGGAACUGAUUUGGAAAUGCCGUCAAACA